CCUACGGGUGGCAGCAGUGGGGAAUAUUGGGCAAUGGGCGCAAGCCUGACCCAGCAACGCCGCGUGAAUGAAGAAGGCUUUCGGGUUGUAAACUUCUUUUCUCAGGGACGAAGAAAGUGACGGUACCUGAUGAAUAAGCCCCGGCUAACGACGUGCCAGCAGCCGCGGUAAUACGGAGGGUGCGAGCGUUAAUCGGAGUUACUGGGCGUAAAGCGCGCGUAGGCGGUAUGUCAAGUCAAGGGUGAAAUCCCCGCGCUCAACGUGGGAACUGCCUUUGAAACUGGCAAACUGGAGUGUGUGAGAGGAUAGUGGAAUUCCAGGUGUAGGAGUGAAAUCCGUAGAUAUCUGGAGGAACAGCAGUGGCGAAGGCGACUAUCUGGCACAUAACUGACGCUGAGGAGCGAAAGCGUGGGUAGCAAACAGGAUUAGAUACCCGUGUAGUC
rnacentral:rRNA from 1 species